CCUGCGCGGCCCCUCAGGGCGGGCCGGCCGCGGCUCGGGGUGAGGAAUGGAGCUUUGAGAACAUAAAAUCCGCUGUCAGUGCCCUCCUUCCCUUGUGGACCCUAAGCCACCCUCAAACGCUUCCAAGAGUUGUCACUCCACCGCUUAGCUGGUCCUUUCUUCACUGCAGGCAGGGUAGAAGAGGCUGGAUCCCACCUCAAUACAGCCUUCUUUCAGAUCUACUGCUGUACUCAGCCUGGAGGACAAGGAAGGAAAAUGAAAAUAAGGUGCACAUAAUGAUCUUGCUCCUGACACAGAUCUUUUGCCACACAGGAAGCCUGUGAGGAAGAAGUUAAAACUAGAAGGAAAAGAAAAGGACAGCAGUGUUUCCCACAUUCUUGAGAAGCAGAUUGAAGAAAACAUGGAAUUUCCUGUGGUGGUGUCCUCUUCACACCAGUGAUACCUUCCAGUUCAAUGGGAACCUGCAGCAGAAAGAAGAUCCCAAAUACAGGAACUCAGCAUGUCCCGUCAGGAGCAGAAUAAUACCACAGAAACCAUGGCCAGCCAGAGUCCUGAAUGCUGAGAACUGUGAUUAACUCCUCAGGAAUCUCUCUGGAGCAAGUCAUAUUUUCUGGGCUUUUUUAGUGCCUACAUUUCAGAGUGAUCCCAUUUCUUGGCUGGGAAGAGGACCUGAAGAACACUUUGCCUUGAAAAGCACCACAGAAUCCCACAGCCACAGUAGGAGCUGUUUCAACUGAAACUAUGGAAAAUCAUACUUCCUCCUCCUCUUUUCCCUCCUUCUUUUCUCUCCCAUAGAGAUGGGCUGACAGAGCUGUUCAGCCUGGAGAAGAUAAGACUCUGGGGGGACCUUAGAGACCCUUCCAGUGCCUAAAGGGGCUCCAAGAGAGCUGGAGAGGGACUUUGGACAGAGGAUGGACAGACAGGACACAGGG